CCGGAAGGGUCAGAGGAAGGAACAGAGAGUAAACCGUGCACACUCAGAGAAGCCGUCACCAGAGGACCCGUCACCAAGGGAAGAAGAGAAGGGAAUGAACCCAGCCUGAGAAUCAAGGUGAUCCACCAAGCGGUACCUUCAGAUUCCAUUUAACUCCUUCCUGGCUGCACCUCCAGAAGCAGACAGAGCAGAAAGAUGGGUGACCUGCUCUGAAGCUGUGUUUCCUGGUCCAGCAAGUGUUUGGAAAGGAAUUCCUGGAGAUUGCUUCAAAGUAACACAGACUGUAGCAGUUAGCAGGGCCUCAAGAGGAAGGAAAAGGAAAAAAGGUCUGUCUGCAGAUGGAUGUUCCCCGUGCUGUUCCUUUCCUUCACACAGCUUCAGGCUUCUCGGGUGUGGUAAGAAAUUGGGAUCUGCAGGAGAAUGUUCAGAGGACACAGACAGGAGUACUAAGCCUUCAAGAACCAAGCCUGUUUGGCUAUUCUGGGUCCCGGGAGGCUCUGCUCUACACAGCUGGAGUUCUGGUGAGGGCUGCUCUGGUCAGUGAGCAGUUGGGCUGGACCACUGGCCACUUAUCAGAACUUCUUUAAAUUCCUCCAGUGUCCUUUAAGGGUUUGAAAACAGACUUUACACUUCUUUUGUCAACUUCAUUCCUUGAUGUUUUAUGGAUUUUGAGUGCUAUUUUAAGCAGGCUUUUUCCUCUUGACAUUUUUGUGUGUGGAUCACCUGUAGCCUGUGUACAGACCACACUGGCUCUUGAAUAUUGAUCUUGUCUCCUGCAAUCUUACAGAACUCAGUGGCUCUGACAGAUUUCUAGGGGAUUCCUGGAGACUUUUUAUGACUCAAGGCCUGCCAUCUACAAACAAAGAGUUUCCCUUCUUGCUUCCCAAUAUGGGUGGUCUUUCAUGUUCUUUUCUUGCCUAACUGUCUGGCUGCUCUUCCAGGACCUUGGUGAAUGGAAGUGCCAAGAGGGGACACGCUUGCCCUGUCCCUGACCUCAUGGGGAGAAGCCAGCCACUCACGAAGAUUAGCUCUCCGGUUUCCAAAAAUGCCAUUUUCUAAGUUGAUGAAGUUCUUUCUGGGGGAGUAUGGGUUUUGUCAAAGGCAUUUUCUGGGCCUGUUGAAAAGUCUAUGUGAUAUCUUUAUUCUAUUGAUAUAGUGCGUUGCAUUGUUUUUGGAUGGUAAGUCAACCAUGCUGCCCUGGAGUAACUCUCACUCGCUCAUGGUAUAUAUAAUCUCUCCGACAUGUGGCUAGAUUUUGGUUGCUGUUUGUUGUUGUUGUUGUUUUGGUUUACUGCCAGUCAGGGU